CUUCAUGGGCUGAUCUAUAAACUGAGAGUGAGGAUGCUUUUUUUCAUUUUGGUGAUGGAGCGGACGGGUCUGGGCGGGCGACGCAGCUCUGAACACGUGGCUAACGACAAUCAGAGCUAAAGGCCCCAAAGCUUUGCAAUGACAUAUGGCAAACGUGAUGAAUAAAGUUAAAUUAUUUCAGUCCAUAAAAUUAAAUGACUGAUGUGGGAAAAAAGAUCAUUAUUCUGUAACCUACUGGUUCUUAUUAACAGUAUUAAACAAAAUUUUUGUUCCGUCUUUGACAACUGUACAGAUGUAACUUUAGUGAAAAUUCAUAUAUCUCAUAUGUACCACAAAGUCUGCAUCUACACGAUUUGUUAUGAAAACUGUCAUGUAAUUGUUGAUAUUUGGAGAGUUUUAUUUCAUUUGCGUUUUUUUCUUCACCUGUUGUUUUCAACAUAUUUGAUACUUUUUUGAAUAACUGGAAUUAGUGCAACAGAUUUUCCAAAAUAACCCCACGCAAAAAAAAAACUGCAGCAGAUUUAUUUUUAUGUUAUUUAUUCAUUUUAUUAUCACUGCUGUUUUGUGAAGAUUGUUGUGGACAGUAUUUGUUUUUGAACCACUAUAGAGUUUUUAUUUGGGUUGGUACUGACAAACUACUUCAGUGAUCUGCUGUGGUGAUUUAUUAUUACUUGGAAUUGAUACAUGUGUAUUUAUUGAUGCCUGAUUUGUAUUUUGGAAUUUCAAUAAAACUGACUGGAUGAUGAAA